rnacentral:tRNA from 1 species
CGGGUGUAGCUUAAUGGUAAAGCCCUUGCCUUCCAAGCAAGAUACGCGGGUUCGAUUCCCGUCACCC